rnacentral:rRNA from 1 species
AGAGUUUGAUCCUGGCUCAGGAUGAACGCUGGCGGCGUGCCUAAUACAUGCAAGUCGAGCGAACAGAUAAGGAGCUUGCUCCUUUGACGUUAGCGGCGGACGGGUGAGUAACACGUGGGUAACCUACCUAUAAGACUGGAAUAACUCCGGGAAACCGGGGCUAAUGCCGGAUAACAUUUAGAACCGCAUGGUUCUAAAGUGAAAGAUGGUUUUGCUAUCACUUAUAGAUGGACCCGCGCCGUAUUAGCUAGUUGGUAAGGUAAUGGCUUACCAAGGCAACGAUACGUAGCCGACCUGAGAGGGUGAUCGGCCACACUGGAACUGAGACACGGUCCAGACUCCUACGGGAGGCAGCAGUAGGGAAUCUUCCGCAAUGGGCGAAAGCCUGACGGAGCAACGCCGCGUGAGUGAUGAAGGGUUUCGGCUCGUAAAACUCUGUUAUUAGGGAAGAACAAACGUGUAAGUAACUGUGCACGUCUUGACGGUACCUAAUCAGAAAGCCACGGCUAACUACGUGCCAGCAGCCGCGGUAAUACGUAGGUGGCAAGCGUUAUCCGGAAUUAUUGGGCGUAAAGCGCGCGUAGGCGGUUUCUUAAGUCUGAUGUGAAAGCCCACGGCUCAACCGUGGAGGGUCAUUGGAAACUGGGAGACUUGAGUGCAGAGGAGGAAAGUGGAAUUCCAUGUGUAGCGGUGAAAUGCGCAGAGAUGUGGAGGAACACCAGUGGCGAAGGCGACUUUCUGGUCUGUAACUGACGCUGAUGUGCGAAAGCGUGGGGAUCAAAC